CCCAUCAGGGGUUGCUAGAGAGGCUGACAGGUUGAUGACAACCCACUCCAACUGGAAGGGAAAGGAAGCAAGUCUGCAGGGGACCCUGCCUCCUGACUUCUGCUUGGAAAAAGUGCGCAGCCUGGGCUGCUGUCCUGAGCCGCGGUCUCCAUCCUGCCUGCCCUGAUCCCUGCGUGCAUGUUCCUGGACUCUGUGCUGGUCAACAGGUGCACACAGUUGUUCUGAGGUACCUUGACCUUGACCAAAGGACACAGUGACCACACUCAGGCACAAGCGGUCCUCCUGGCCACUGUGUAAUUCUUAUAGAUGAGGAUAUGUUGCUCCUGUAUUUGCUAGUUUUACGCUGCCACUUGCCAGUUCUAUAAGAGCUUUUCCUAGAAGGAAAAGAAGAAAAAAUCCAUCUGUUUAGAAAAGAAGUGAGUGGGAUCUCCUACCCAGGGAGGAACCCUGGUGCCGAGGGGACUGGGUCUGAGAUGGAGCCUCCACUGUGUGGUUGGCACUACAGGAUCUUCACCAGCACCUGCCCUCUCUGUCUCUGGUUUCUUCUUCUGGCCCCUGCCCUUUCCAUCUCCUGAGCGUGUGAGAAAGUCCCGGGAGAGGACGAGUAUAGCAGGGCUCUGAGACACACAGGGUGCUGUCUGCAGCUGGCCUCCGGGUCACCCUGUGAUGUGGCCCCACGCGAGGAUGCUGGCCGGCCGUGUGAGAUAGCAGAUGUGGGAGCCCCUGUGUGUGAUACCGCCUGAGCUAGACGGAGCCUGAUUAGUGCGAGGAGUGAUUAUCGGUGAUAACAAUGCCGUUUUGCCACCUGCCAUCGAGACAUUUCUGUAGCUGUGUGACUUCACAAGGACGUGAACUUUGCAUGCUGGGUUUGCCCAGCUGUAAAAUGAGCUAUCUCCGGGGACAGCAGGCACAGCCAGCUCC
rnacentral:lncRNA from 1 species